rnacentral:rRNA from 1 species
GAUGAACGCUAGCGGCAGGCUUAACACAUGCAAGUCGAGGGGUAACAGAGAGUGCUUGCACUCUGCUGACGACCGGCGCACGGGUGAGUAACGCGUAUGCAACCUACCUUUUACAGGGGAAUAGCCCAGAGAAAUUUGGAUUAAUACCCCAUAUUAUCCUUUAUUCGCAUGAAUUAGAGAUGAAAGUUUCGACGGUAAAAGAUGGGCAUGCGUCCUAUUAGUUUGUUGGUAAGGUAAUGGCUUACCAAGACUUCGAUAGGUAGGGGCCCUGAGAGGGGGACCCCCCACACUGGUACUGAGACACGGACCAGACUCCUACGGGAGGCAGCAGUGAGGAAUAUUGGACAAUGGAGGAAACUCUGAUCCAGCCAUGCCGCGUGCAGGAUGAAUGCCCUAUGGGUUGUAAACUGCUUUUAUACAGGAAGAAACAUUUCCACGUGUGGAAACUUGACGGUACUGUAAGAAUAAGGAUCGGCUAACUCCG